UAAUACGGAGGAUGCAAGCGUUAUCCGGAAUCAUUGGGCGUAAAGCGUCCGCAGGUGGUGAUGCAAGUCUAUUGUCAAAGAGCGAGGCUCAACCUCGUCAAGGCGGUGGAAACUGCAAACACUAGAGUGCGGUAGGGGUAGAGGGAAUUCCCAGUGUAGCGGUGAAAUGCGUAGAGAUUGGGAAGAACACCGGUGGCGAAAGCGCUCUACUGGGCCUGCACUGACACUGAGGGACGAAAGCUAGGGGAGCGAAAGGGAUUAGAUACCCCUGUAGUCCUAGCCGUAAACGAUGGAUACUAGGCGUGGCUUGUAUCGACCCGAGCCGUGCCGGAGCUAACGCGUUAAGUAUCCCGCCUGGGGAGUACGCACGCAAGUGUG
rnacentral:rRNA from 1 species